rnacentral:rRNA from 1 species
UACAGAGGGGGCAAGCGUUAUUCGGAAUUAUUGGGCGUAAAGGGCGCGUAGGCGGCAUUGCAAGUCGAAUGUGAAAUCCCUCGGCUUAACCAAGGAAGUGCAUCCGAAACUGCAGUGCUUGAGUACUUAAGAGGAUCGCGGAAUUCUCGGUGUAGAGGUGAAAUUCGUAGAUAUCGGGAGGAACACCAGUGGCGAAGGCGGCGAUCUGGGAAGAUACUGACGCUGAGGUGCGAAAGCGUGGGGAGCAAACAGG